AUACGUAGGGGGCGAGCGUUGUCCGGAAUGAUUGGGCGUAAAGGGCGCGUAGGCGGCCCGGUAAGUCUGGAGUGAAAGUCCUGUUUUUAAGAUGGGAAUUGCUUUGGAUACUGUCGGGCUUGAGUGCAGGAGAGGUAAGUGGAAUUCCCAGUGUAGGGGUGAAAUGCGUAGAGAUUGGGAGGAACACCAGUGGCGAAGGCGACUUACUGGACUGUAACUGACGCUGAGGCGCGAAAGUGUGGGGAGCAAACAGGAUUAGAUACCCUGGUAGUCCACACUGUAAACGAUGAAUGCUAGGUGUAGGGGGUAUCGACCCCUUCUGUGCCGCAGUCAACACAAUAAGCAUUCCGCCUGGGGAGUACGGCCGCAAGGUUGAAACUCAAAUGAAUUGACGGGG
rnacentral:rRNA from 1 species